rnacentral:lncRNA from 1 species
UGGAUUCAAGUUUAGUUUUGAUGCAAUGUGGAUUUAAAAAAAAAAAAAAAAGAAAUAUCAUGGCUGAAAUGAGAAAGAGAAAGAGAGUAAGGUUGUUUUCUCUUUUUGUUUUAUUAAAAAAUAUCCAUGCCACGUGUCAGUAUAUUAGAGGAUGUUAAUAAUUUUUUAAAAAAAGAAAUCACUUACUGUAUGCUGAGAAUGAGAAUCUCAUUUUGGUUAUGCUAUAAAUACAUUUCCACUCGCUUGUUUUAGUUUUGAAUAUGUUACUUCAUUUUUUGACUUCUUUUUGGUUUUAUUUAUUUUAGUAUAUAUAGUAUGUUGGUUUUGG